CAGUGUAACUUUUUCUUGCAAUAUUUACAGAUAUGUUUGUUGGUGGGGUCAAAGAGAAAGCAAUUUUUUAAUCUCUGAUCAGGUUUUAAAGAACUAAUGCCAAAUACCUUUCUAAUAUAAACUCAUUUUGUAGAAAUUCAAGAAAUUAGCUGAUACAUAUGGUAGAUGUGUGUAGUUUCCUUGUAGAAUAAAUAUAUUAAUGCUGGUUGAUAAUAGCUUUUACCCUGUUAUAAAUUUUCUCAUCAUGUAUUUUCCUUCUUAUUUAAGCAACUGAAAAAUUUCUGACAAAGUUCGAUGUUUCUUGGAUAAUGAUAGCAUAAUUAAUAGUUAUGUCUCUAAUCACAAAAGCAAAUUGAUAACUAUAGGACUUAUAUUGGAUAACCUGGAAACCCAAGACCUCAUCUGUGUUGUUUUUCUAACUUAAGCAAGUUGCCUUUGUAGUGUUUGCUAAAUUUGUUUAUUGAUAUUAGUCAAUCUUGUUUGUAGGGAUCAUGAUUUUAAAAAAACGCAAACACAUGUUCUAUGUAGGAAAAAUAACCUAAUCAAAAAUAGAUGAGUUUAAUCUGUCCAAUUUUGAUAAAGACGAGGUAUAAACUCAUCCAGGCUUGCUGAUACUUUGCAAAAUAGUGAGUACACAAAAAGGAGAAGGAAAGAACAUAGGCAGGCCUACCAAGAGUCAGCAUAAAAAAUUAUUUAUGUAUCUAAUUAGUGCAGGCAUGUUCAACCAGUAUAUAAUUAUAAAAAUGGGCAAUGAAAAUUGUGUUCUGUACAGUGGCAAUAGCACAUUUUAAAAAUGUCAUGGUUGUUACACAUAUUCUCUUUCACAGUUCUAGCAAUUUGAUCAAACUGGGUGUCUUACUGAAAGAGCACUGUUUCUGUGUAUAACUCAGGAGAUUUACUGUGCUUCAAAUCAGUCUUAACUUGGCAAUUUAGUAGAAUUAAAAUUCAGUUAGUCCUCAGUUAUGUCAUGGAGUGAAAGCCCCUGGCACUGGGAGCUUGCACAAGGUAAUGGUGGCAUAAGCAGCCCCUGUGUUGAGAAAGUCAGUGGGGUAGGCAGGCAGGCAACUGGCAAUUGAGAAAUACUCCCACAGUAUUUUUUGUGUCAAAUAUAGGUGAAUUUGUGCUGCAGAUAGAACUUUAACUUAAGAAUAUCUUCUCAGACAUUUUAACCUGACAAAUGGGUUUGGAACUUGCAAGACUUUUAUCUUCAGUGACCUGUAACUGAUGGACAGCAGAAGCUCAAAAAACAGCUUCUCCAAAUCAAAAAUAGAAAAAAACCUAAAAAUUAAUAAUUGCUGAAAGCAAUAAAGUACACAGGAAGAUGAGCAAA